ensembl:lncRNA
GGAUUGUCCAAGAUUUUUGUGAUAUCGUAAGAGGAUUUAUUUUGUUUGUUCCGCUGUUGUACGGCACUACGUUGACUGGCAGGAGGGCAUGUGAUCAGACACACAGUAUCGGGGUUCAAGAGUGGUAUGUUGGUCAUGUGUCCAUUCGCCAGGCAACAUAGUGCUGUACAAGUAGCGCGAAAAACAAACUUCAAAUUAACGCUACGCGUUCAGCGGGAGUCGUGGAUGACGAGCGGCGAUAAACUUGCGAAAAGCAAGUUAUGCUCAACUCCACCGGUGGAACCUGACAGCGUGGAAAAGUGUGAAAACAUCCAUGAUCACCAACGGAUUUCAAAGGGCUGGACUGCUGCAUGAUGGAGAGGAAGACACCGCCACGGCCCUUCAGAGGGGGUUCGACUCUGACACUGACAAUGAGGAUUUCUUUGGUUUUGUAAGUGACAACGAAUGAAAGAAGCUGAGAGUGGAUGACGUAGCCAUCCUGAGCCUGUUCGUAUUCGACACUGGAGGAGAGGACUUUGGUGGUUUUAGUGCGCAGGAAGAUGGUGGUGAAUGACUGACUUUUCUUCUUGUUAAAGCCAUGUCACUGCACCUGAGCCUAAAAGGUAGGCUGAAUCUAUUUUUCUGGUGUGCUGUAGGUUAUUGUUAUGUACUACAUUUGUUACUCAUUUAUGAAGCACAGUACAUGUUUCGUACUUGUAAUUACUGCUACUUGUACAUAUACCUAAAAAGUUAUGCAAAUAUGUACCCAUAACUUGUUUUUCAAAAUAUUAAUAAAAGUGAUGUCUCCAAACAGCCAUCUCUUUCCUGACAAUUCCCUUUGUGCAUAUUCUCUUACAUAUGAUAAGUCAACAUUGAAACACCUGCGGCUUUUGGUCAGGUGCGGCUAAUGUAUGUACAAAACAGGAUUUUCCACUGAUUUUAGCUUGUGCGGCUAAUAUUCAGGUGCGCUUUGUAGUCCGGGAAAUACGGUAAUAUUUGAAUGCAGAAUGUUACACCAUCACUUAUGGAUAUAUUCGUUUUUCGCCUCCCACUGCUUAAGCCAUUAAUCUUUCUAGAAUUGUUCUUUGAAACAGAUGCGACCUCACAAAAGAUGUUAACGAUGCUGUCAGACCUGACCAGAGCAGUUAACGAACUCCGUGAGGAGGUCAGAGCCAACCGCCAUCCCUGCUGCAAUGAAUCUGUAGAUGCUGGGGUAUUGCCUCUGGAUUUGCCUUUGCACAACAUUGAGGAGCUAAACAAUGCAGGGGCAGCCCUUCAAUCACCGGAGGCAAAUAAGGCAAUGGUGAGGCGCUUUGCCUUGAUUGGAGGGACCACACUGGAGGUGCGAGUCUGCCGCACCGCCAAACGAGCUGGCCUCGGUACUCAAUUGGGCAGGGAAAAAAACAAGGACCAGACAGCAAAAAAUGGCAUUUAAAGAGACAGCGCAGUGCAGAUGCAUAUUUGAUGGCCUGACGCAGCAGGUAGGGGCAAACUCUAUGUCUGAGUUUGUCUUUGCUCAAGCAGUCCAGAAAUGGCUCAGAUAUGCUCCGGAUUGUAAAAAUUAAAAAGUGACGUGAAACAUAGAAAUCUUAAUAGGAAACUUUGUCUUUUAAUAAAAUAUUUUGCAAACGAUACAUGUCUAUUGACCUUUUUUUUUCUUUUCUGUUCUCUGUUACAUGAUGUGUGAUGCUUUCUGUUUUUAGAACUGACUAUCAGAAUCAGAAUACUUUAUUGAUCCCUGGGGGAAAUUAUUUUUUGUUACAGUGCUCCAUUUUAAACCAACAUUAAGACAAGACAGACAAUACGCUAACUAAGAAUAGUACAAUAUGUACAUAUA